UACGAAGGGUGCUAGCGUUGUUCGGAAUCACUGGGCGUAAAGCGCGCGUAGGCGGCCAUGCAAGUCAGAGGUGAAAGCCCGGGGCUCAACCCCGGAAUUGCCUUUGAAACUGCAUGGCUGGAGUAUCGGAGGGGAGUGCGGAAUUCCUAAUGUAGAGGUGAAAUUCGUAGAUAUUAGGAGGAACACCGGUGGCGAAGGCGGCACUCUGGACGAAUACUGACGCUGAGGCGCGAAAGCGCGGGGAUCAAACAGG
rnacentral:rRNA from 1 species